rnacentral:rRNA from 1 species
AUGUUGACCUCGGAUCAGGUAGGAAUACCCGCUGAACUUAAGCAUAUCAAUAAGCGGA